AUGUUCUCUGUAGCUGUGCUCCUGCUGCUGCUGGUUUUUGGAACCUGUGUAAAAUGUGAGCAGUUGAUACAGACAGCAUCUGUGACUGUGCAGCCAGGUCAGCGUCUGACCAUCACCUGUCAGGUCUCUUAUUCUCUACGCAGCUGGAGGACAGCUUGGAUCAGACAGCCUGCAGGGAAAGGACUGGAGUGGAUUGGAGGUGCACAUUAUGGACACAACACAUACUACAAAGAUUCACUAAAGAACAAGUUCACCAUCAACUUAGACACUUCAAGCAAGACGGUGACUCUAAAUGGACAGAAUAUGCAGCCUGAAGACACUGCUGUGUAUUACUGUGCGAGAAUGCCACAGUAA